rnacentral:rRNA from 1 species
CGCCCCUCGUAAGUAAAUAAAAUGAGGGGUCCUGCCUGCCCAGUGACUAAAGUUAAACGGCCGCGGUAUCUUGACCGUGCAAAGGUAGCAUAAUCACUUGUCUCCUAAAUAGAGACUGGUAUGAAUGGCAAGACGGAGCUAAACUGUCUCUUUUUUUUCCUCUGAAAUUUACUUCCACGUGAAGAGGCGUGGAUAAAAUCGCUAGACGAGAAGACCCUGUCGAGCUUAAAGCAAAAAAUAAGGCCCAUUCUACUAGUCUAAAACCACUAAUUCAAAAAUUUACAGAAACUAGACUUUAAAGCUCUUAUCAAAGCUUUGGUUGGGGCAACCGCGGAAAAGGAAAAUCUUCCGCUAAAAACAAUUAAAACAAGGAAAACUAUCCUACUACCAAAAAUGAAAGCAUGAUCCACCUAGGUGAUCAAAGGAACAAGUUACCGCAGGGAUAACAGCGUCAUCUUUUUUGAGAGUUCACAUUGACAAAAAGGUUUGCGACCUCGAUGUUGGAUCGGGACAUCCUAAGGGUGCAGAAGCUCUUAAGGGUUGGUCUGUUCGACCAUUAAAGUCCUACGUGAUCUGAGUUCAGACCGGCGAAAGC